rnacentral:rRNA from 1 species
CAUGUGGUUUAAUUCGAUGCAACGCGAAGAACCUUACCUGGGCUUGACAUCCCGAGAAUCCCCUGGAACAGGGGAGUGCCUUCGGGAACUCGGAGACAGGUGCUGCAUGGCUGUCGUCAGCUCGUGUCGUGAGAUGUUGGGUUAAGUCCCGCAACGAGCGCAACCCUUGUCUUUAAUUGCCAGCAUUCAGUUGGGCACUUUAAAGAGACUGCCGGUGUUAAGCCGGAGGAAGGUGGGGAUGACGUCAAGUCCUCAUGGCCUUUAUGCCCAGGGCUACACACGUGCUACAAUGGGUGGUACAAAGAGAUGCCAACUCGCGAGAGCGCGCCAAUCUCAGAAAGCCAUCCUCAGUUCGGAUUGGAGUCUGCAACUCGACUCCAUGAAGUUGGAAUCGCUAGUAAUCGCGGAUCAGCACGCCGCGGUGAAUACGUUCCCGGGCCUU